UACGUAGGGGGCAAGCGUUGUCCGGAAUUAUUGGGCGUAAAGAGCUCGUAGGCGGUUUGUCACGUCGUUCGUGAAAACCUGCAGCUUAACUGUGGGCGUGCGGUCGAUACGGGCAUCACUGGAGUUCGGCAGGGGAGACUGGAAUUCCUGGUGUAGCGGUGAAAUGCGCAGAUAUCAGGAGGAACACCGGUGGCGAAGGCGGGUCUCUGGGCCGAUACUGACGCUGAGGAGCGAAAGCGUGGGGAGCAAACAGG
rnacentral:rRNA from 1 species